rnacentral:rRNA from 1 species
GUGGACUUGGACUCUGUCGUGUUACAACGACUGGUCUGAAAUGCCUGAGUGCACCCUGCUGUUGCAGCGUCUUCAGUGUGAUAAGCAUCUUCACUGAUUCAAGUUCCUUCGGGACACGUAGCAUUGUGGGCUCUGUGCUGACRAACCGUCCUCGGACAAUCUUUGACAAUUUGACCUCAAAUCGGGUGGGACUACCCGCUGAACUUAAGCAUAUCAAUAAGCGGAGGAAAAGAAACUAACAAGGAUUCCCCUAGUAACGGCGAGUGAAGAGGGAAAAGCUCAAAUUUUGAAUCUGGUGUCUUUGGCGCCCGAGUUGUAAUCUAGAGAAGUGUUUUCUGCCUCGGACCACACAUAAAUUCCCUGGAAUGGGGUGUCAUAGAGGGUGAGAAUCCCGUUUGUGGUGUGGACUACCUUGGCUCUGUGAUACACUCUCAACGAGUCGAGUUGUUUGGGAAUGCAGCUCAAAAUGGGUGGUAAAUUCCAUCUAAAGCUAAAUAUUGGCGAGAGACCGAUAGCGAACAAGUACCGUGAGGGAAAGAUGAAAAGCACUUUGGAAAGAGAGUGAAACAGUACGUGAAAUUGUUGAAAGGGAAGCGUUUGAAGUCAGUCACAUCGGUCGGAAUUCAGCCUGGCUUUGCCUGGUGUACUUUCUGGCAGAUGGGUCAGCGUCAAUUUUGACUGAGGGAAAAAGACUUGAGGAAUGUGGCUGUCUUCGGGCAGUGUUAUAGCCUCUUGUUGUAUGUCUCAGUUGGGAUUGAGGACCGCAGCACGCCUUAUGGCCGGGGUUCGCGCCCUCGGAACGUGCUUAGGACGCUGGCAUAAUGGCUUUAAGCGACC